rnacentral:rRNA from 1 species
UACGUAGGGUCCAAGCGUUAUCCGGAAUCACUGGGCGUAAAGCGUGCGUAGGUGGCGUGUUAAGUGAGAUGUGAAACCGUGUGGCUCAACCAUACGUUGUGUCUCAUACUGGCAUGCUAGAGGACGGCAGAGGCAAGUGGAAUUACGAGUGUAGCAGUGAAAUGCGUAGAUAUUCGUAGGAACACCAAUGGCGAGGGCAGCUUGCUGGGCCACUCCUGACACUGAGGUACGAAAGCGUGGGGAGCAAACAGG